rnacentral:rRNA from 1 species
AUUGAACGCUGGCGGCAGGCCUAACACAUGCAAGUCGAGCGGAGCGGCGGCCGGGUGCGUAAUGCCUAGGAAUCUGCCUGGUAGUGGGGGCUAACGUCCGGUAACGGGCGCUAAUACCGCAUACUCUCAGAUGAGCAUAGGUCGGAUUCGCUAGUUGGUGGGGUAAAGGCCUACCAAGGCGACGAUCCGUAACUGGUCUGAGAGGAUGAUCAGUCAAACUGGAACAGAAACACGGUCCCGCAUCCUACGGGAGGCAGCAGUGGGGAAUAGUUGACAAUGGGCGAAAGCCUGAUCCAGCCAUGCCGCGUGUGUUAAGAAGGUCUUCGGAGUGUAAAGCACUUUAAGUUGGGAGGCGUUACCAACAGAAUGAGCACCGGCUAACUUCGUGCCAGCCGCCGCGGUAAUAC